rnacentral:rRNA from 1 species
UACGUAGGGGGCGAGCGUUAUCCGGGUUCACUGGGUGUAAAGGGAGCGUAGACGGAAUUGCAAGCCAGAUGUGAAAACCCGCGGCUUAACUGCGGGCCUGCGUUUGGAACUGCAAAUCUGGAGUACCGGGUGGGCAGGCGGAAUUCCUGGUGUAGCGGUGAAAUGCGUAGAUAUCAGGAGGAACACCGGUGGCGAAGGCGGCCUGCUGGACGGAUACUGACGUUGAGGCUCGAAAGCGUGGGGAGCAAAC